rnacentral:sRNA from 1 species
GCCGGGUGCGGUGGCUCACGCCUGUAAUCCCAACACUUUGGGAGGCUGAGGUGGGUGGAUCACUUGAGGCCAGGAGUUUGAGACCAGCCUGGCCAACAUGGUGAAACCCCAUCUCUA